rnacentral:rRNA from 1 species
AAAGCGUGCGCAGGCGGUUUUGUAAGACUGUCGUGAAAUCCCCGGGCUCAACCUGGGAAUGGCGAUGGUGACUGCAAGGCUAGAGUUUGGCAGAGGGGGAUGGAAUUCCGCGUGUAGCAGUGAAAUGCGUAGAUAUGCGGAGGAACACCGAUGGCGAAGGCAAUCCCCUGGGCCUGCACUGACGCUCAUGCACGAAAGCGUGGGGAGCAAACAGGAUUAGAUACCCUAGU